rnacentral:tRNA from 1 species
GCUUCCAUAGUUCAAUGGAUAGAACACCGGUCUCCGGAACCGGUGAUUUGGGUUCGAAUCCCGAUGGAAGCGCCA